rnacentral:lncRNA from 1 species
GAGCAUAACCUUAUAGUUUCAAAACAUGAGAAAUUAGAAAGAAAUUUAGAGAGAAGAAGAAUUGUUAAGAAAAAGAGUGGGAGACUGAGUUUGUGGAUGCGGUGAAUUUCGUGAGCAUUAUGUUAUGCGUGGUACAGUUUUGUGAAAUUUAAGGUGUUUAAUUAAAUAGACGAAAUUCGUGAUUUACUUAAUUAGAUUGACUUAAUUAGAUUGACGGAAUUCGUGAUUUAUACUUAAAUUGCUACAAUUAUGAAACUACAAAGGCACAAUUGACCAAAUUUAAACUACAUGGACCAAAAGUGAAAGGAAAAAAAAAAAAAAAGCCCAAACUACAAGGACCAAAAGUGACUUUUGACCAUUAAAUUUCUACAUGUGAAAUAGAAUAAAACCUCAAACAUAAUUACCAAAAGACUUCUUAAACUAUUUUCAAUUCAUUCAAAAACACGAAAAUUGAAGAACUAACUAAAUAGAUAGAUAAACAAGGGCAGAGCAUAAAAAAAUGAAAGAGGUGAAGAAGUAAGUAGAGAGAAUUGACACAAUUAAUAUAUUUUAAAAAAAUAAAGUCUAUUAAAAUUAACUUUUAUUUUCAACAUCAUUAUAGAAAUAACCAAAAAAAAAAAAAUUCCUUUACCGUAUUUUCUUUUUAAUUAAGAAAAGGAAAAAAAAAAAAAGAGGUUAUCGACAUAUUUAUAAAAUCUACAAUUAUCCUCUUAAUUUGAACAUAAGAUUCAUUGAACUAUCCAAAUUUGGUAAUUUCCAUCCUCAUUUGGAAAAAUAAUCAAAUGACGUCAUGUUCAUGGCAAAGGAGGGAAAACUGAAAAAGGCAAAACAAAUAUUAUUAAAAAUGAGCAAAGCUUGUGUGUUUUCCAUAAACCUGUCGUUCAUCCCAAAAAACAAAACGUGUAUUUUUCCAAUUUGAAAAUUUGAAAUCUUAUUAUAAAAUUAUUUUUAGCUGGGAGGGCCUGCCGCUUUCAUUAUUAUGGUGCUAAUUAUGGGCUGACGUGAAUUUACCCAAGUUAACUUAUUUACACGCCAUUCUAUGGAUGCCGUACUUGUGGGAUUUCUCCGGUUAUGGAAGCUCUAUAAUUAGGAUGAUGUCAACCUUUCAGUUUGUGAAAUUCCCAAAAUACCCCAAUGCCUUAGCACUGCAUUACAGCCCAUUAUGUUUUGGCAAUUAUUCUCCUAUGAAAUUAUUGUAUACAUCGUGCAGUGCACACAAUGUGUCUGAGUCUUACUCGUAAAAAACGCAACAAAUAGUCUCAAACAAUGGAUUAUGUGUUUCACAUAAAUAAAUAUAAGUCUUAGGGGUAGUUUAGUAUGACGGAUUGUCAUUAACUGGACUAAAUAUUAAUAUUGUCUUGGAUUGACUUGACUCGGCAUAAGCUCGAUAACACUAGUAAAGCGUUUGGUGUAUGUUUGAUUGGACUAGGACUAAUUUUUUUGACAUUUUUUCUCUCUCCAUCUCUUUCCUCAUUUUCCUCUCUGCUUCACUUUCUUCUUCUUCUGUCUACUUUUCUUUUCUUUCUUUUUUCCAAAAAUUUUCUCUCCUCUUCCUAGUUUUUUUUCGAAAAUUUUCUCUCAUCUUCUCAGUUUUUUUCAAAAUUUUUAUCUCAUCUUCUUCUCCAUUUUCUCUCCACCCAUAUUUUUAUGCCUUAAAAUUCAUCUCAUCUCAACAUACCCAUUGGGCUGGGCAAUGUCUUACGAGUUGCAAACGCUAGCAAGUGCACGGGACAAUUAGUCCCUCCAUCCCACGCGGGUUUCACUAAGAACACCUAAGGAGGUGUUUUUGAUGGGCCCGGGAUCACCAAUCCCACUUAAGUUUAGAAUUGCAUGACAACAAACAUGAGAUAAAUUAUUAUCCAAGCUAGUCCAAGCUAAGGAGGUGUAACAAACUUUCAGCGGUUUUGUCCCUUGAACUAUUUGCAUAUUGUCAAUUUAACUUUUUACAAAUUUUUCAGUAAAUUAAGGACUUCAAUUGUUUAAAGAUCGCCAAUUGAGAGCCUAUUGUCAAUUUUUUCAAAAAAUAUAAUUCAUAACUUAAUGGUUUUUAAAAAAAAUAAAAUAAAAACUUCACCUACCUAGCCCCACCCUCGAUGCACUUCCACCCUUCUUGCCCCCCUCUGUCUCUCUCGCCCCUCCCAUCUAAACCCACCCACCUCCACCACGCCUCAUCGCCACCCGCCUCCACCCCACCCUAG